UCUUCGGAAUCGUUAAUAAUGGGGACGGUUCGGGAGCUACUGCACUCUUCGACGCAUGCUGGAAGAGUUUGGAGGUAAAAGAAGAAGAAGAAAAGCAGGAGUAGGGAAUAUUGGUGAAUGGACGAAAGGUUGAACCAGUCAUGCCGCAUGAAGAAUAAAGGCUCUAUCCUUUCAUUUUUACACGCGCUAAAAAUCUUCUGCGGAGGGUCUUGAGAAUACUGUAAGAAUAAGCACCGGCUUCCGUGCCAGCAGCAGCGGUAAUACGGAAGGUGCAAGCGUUAUUCGAUUUUAGUGGGUUUGUAGGAAUGUUUUGGUAAGUCGGAUGUGAAAUCCUAGUGAUUAACGCUAGAACUGUGUUUGAUACUGUAAGAAUUGAGGUAAGAAGAAGACAGUUUAUAAUUUAGUAAAGGAAUACCAAUUGCAUAGAUAAAUUAUUGGUGUUAGUGCAAGCGUGUGAAAGCAAUGAUGGGAGGGGGUAAAUUGAUUAGAUACCCUGGUAGUCCACGCCGUAAACAAUAAUUACUCGAUAUAUACAUGAUUCGUCGUGUGCUUCAGCGAAAGUGGUAAGUGAUCCACCUGGGGAGUAUACUCGCAAGUGUGAAACUCAAAGGAAUUGACGAGGUUAUAUUCUAUCAUAGCAGCGAAGUUGAAUUCUAUGAUAAGCGAGGAACUUCACAAUGCGUUUUUUCUUCAGCCAUUAGACCCCAUUUCUUGGGGAACUAAUGCAAGGUGCUGCAUGGCUGUCGUCUUCACGUACCGUGAGGUGUUUGGUUAAGUCCAGUGAUGUCAGAAUGAAGAAUCCGUCUCUUCGUUCUUCGUACUCUCUCUUCAGUCACAGUUGAGAGAAAGCGCGCGGAAUGAAGAAAUGAGUUCUUGAUCUCGACUUUCUUCAAUUAUUUCCUUCAUUUAAGUCAUUAAAUUAGCGAUACUUUUUGUUUAUUCCCUGCUCGCAGUAUUAGGGGAGGGGGGGGGGGGCUAAUCGUAUUCUUUUUGGGAGGUGAGUUCAAGUCUUCAUUUAUUUUAUGCCCAGGGCUACACACGUACUACAAUGGCUUGUACAAAGAGAAGCUGUUUGUCUAAAAAAUGA
rnacentral:ncRNA from 1 species